UACAUGAUUCCAUAGCGUAAAGUUAGGUCCCGUAAAAUGUUCCGCAAUUGUCCCGCUUCACGUCCAGGACAGAGUUAACAUAAUUAAUUUUUGCAUUUAUAAUUUAAUUUAUGAAAUAAUUAAUAUUCUUUAAAUGUGGAGCACGUUUUCACCUGGUUAUCGUCGAAGAUUAAAUUUAAAUUGAUUGCUGAGGAUACUAAAUUUAGAAGAGUGCGAUUCUCAAACCGUAUUAAAGAUGCUUUGUCAAGAAUAAAGUAGUAAGGGAAAGAGUGUUUCCAGUUUGCUUUCCUUCAAAAAGUUCUCAUACUGGUCAUUUUACUAGAGAUGAUACUUAUUACUUAAGUAUAAAGACGUCCGAAACUUGUGUUGUUUAAAGAAUCUUAAUGUAAGUAAAGAUGUUACUACAAAAUGAUAACAGUUUAUGUGAUUAGGAAAUUAUUUGUUUAUUUAGUAUAAGGUUUAAGUCUAUAAUAUAUUUUUUGAGUUAUUGUUUUUUUUAAACUUAUUUCCAAAUAACUUUAAGUA